ACGGAGAAGGCUAUGUUGGCCGGGCGACGGUUGUCCCGGUUUAAGCGGGUAGGCUGGUUUUCCAGGCAAAUCCGGAAAAUCAAGGCUGAGGCGUGAUGACGAGGCACUACGGUGCUGAAGCAACAAAUGCCCUGCUUCCAGGAAAAGCCUCUAAGCAUCAGGUAACAUCAAAUCGUACCCCAAACCGACACAGGUGGUCAGGUAGAGAAUACCAAGGCGCUUGAGAGAACUCGGGUGAAGGAACUAGGCAAAAUGGUGCCGUAACUUCGGGAGAAGGCACGCUGAUAUGUAGGUGAAGCGACUUGCUCGUGGAGCUGAAAUCAGUCGAAGAUACCAGCUGGCUGCAACUGUUUAUUAAAAACACAGCACUGUGCAAACACGAAAGUGGACGUAUACGGUGUGACGCCUGCCCGGUGCCGGAAGGUUAAUUGAUGGGGUCAGCGCAAGCGAAGCUCUUGAUCGAAGCCCCGGUAAACGGCGGCCGUAACUAUAACGGUCCUAAGGUAGCGAAAUUCCUUGUCGGGUAAGUUCCGACCUGCACGAAUGGCGUAAUGAUGGCCAGGCUGUCUCCACCCGAGACUCAGUGAAAUUGAACUCGCUGUGAAGAUGCAGUGUACCCGCGGCAAGACGGAAAGACCCCGUGAACCUUUACUAUAGCUUGACACUGAACAUUGAGCCUUGAUGUGUAGGAUAGGUGGGAGGCUUAGAAGUGUGGACGCCAGUCUGCAUGGAGCCGACCUUGAAAUACCACCCUUUAAUGUUUGAUGUUCUAACGUGGACCCGUGAUCCGGGUUGCGGACAGUGUCUGGUGGGUAGUUUGACUGGGGCGGUCUCCUCCUAAAGAGUAACGGAGGAGCACGAAGGUUGGCUAAUCCUGGUCGGACAUCAGGAGGUUAGUGCAAUGGCAUAAGCCAGCUU
rnacentral:rRNA from 1 species